UGUAAUACCUUUAAUAUGGCUACAAUCUCUACUUGAACAUAUAUAUAUGUUCAAGUAGAGAUUGUAGCCAUAUUAGAUACAAUUUGUA
rnacentral:miRNA from 1 species